GUAGAUUUAGUCAAAAGAAAAGACAUUUGAUUUGCAAUCAAAAGAUCUAAGUUUAACCCUUAGAAUCCACA
rnacentral:tRNA from 1 species